rnacentral:rRNA from 1 species
UGCAGUCGACGCUGAAGCCGACAGCUUGCUGUUGGUGGAUGAGUGGCGAACGGGUGAGUAACACGUGAGUAACCUGCCCCUGAUUUCGGGAUAAGCCUGGGAAACUGGGUCUAAUACCGGAUAUGACCUCCUGACGCAUGUUGGGUGGUGGAAAGUUUUUCGAUCGGGGAUGGGCUCGCGGCCUAUCAGCUUGUUGGUGGGGUAAUGGCCUACCAAGGCGACGACGGGUAGCCGGCCUGAGAGGGCGACCGGCCACACUGGGACUGAGACACGGCCCAGACUCCUACGGGAGGCAGCAGUGGGGAAUAUUGCACAAUGGGGGAAACCCUGAUGCAGCGACGCAGCGUGCGGGAUGACGGCCUUCGGGUUGUAAACCGCUUUCAGCAGGGAAGAAGCGAAAGUGACGGUACCUGCAGAAGAAGUACCGGCUAACUACGUGCCAGCAGCCGCGGUAAUACGUAGGGUACGAGCGUUGUCCGGAAUUAUUGGGCGUAAAGAGCUCGUAGGUGGUUGGUCACGUCUGCUGUGGAAACGCAACGCUUAACGUUGCGCGUGCAGUGGGUACGGGCUGACUAGAGUGCAGUAGGGGAGUCUGGAAUUCCUGGUGUAGCGGUGAAAUGCGCAGAUAUCAGGAGGAACACCGGUGGCGAAGGCGGGACUCUGGGCUGUAACUGACACUGAGGAGCGAAAGCAUGGGGAGCGAACAGGAUUAGAUACCCUGGUAGUC